rnacentral:tRNA from 1 species
AGAAAAGUAAGCUAAUUUAAGCUAAUGGGUUCAUACCCCAUAUAUAGAGUAUAAAACUCUCUUCUCUA